GCCCCGCAGCCUUAGAUCGUGCCCUGCACUCUGUUUUGUGCCUGUUCAAUCCUUUUGCUAUCUGGUGUUAGGGGAGGCUAACGACUCUUGCAUGCUUCACGGUGAAAUUUAGACCAGCCAAGAACAGCGGUCCAGGGAGGGAUCACUGAUGACUGAAACUUAAAAUAGGAGGUUGCGACAUUCGACGUUGACAUUGUCCUGGAAACGCUGGAGGGAGACUUGCACAGGAGUGAGUCAGUGGGUUGCCGCUUUGUAUGAGUUAUGAUCUCUUGGGCAAGUCCAAGAUGCCUGUGAGAAGAACCAGCAUGUCAGAGUCUCUUUCCAGCCAGCUUUCUCCUUUUAAAGCAACGAGUCAACAUAAAUAAAUCAUCUUGCCACAAAAGCAGUUCAGCUCUCUAGAAUUCUGUUAAAGGAUCGGUUUUCCACCCGGACUGAGAUGCAGCUGAAGUGUCCAUACGAUCAAGCUAACGUAAAAGACCCGUCCAAAAAGAAGCGGUUCAACUCCUUUUUCUACGUUUGACCAUUCAUGCCUUUGUCUUCUCCAGAGCCCACAGGAAGCAGAGCCGGAGUUAGCUCUUUGUGGCUUGGACUGCUCAAAUAGUGGUGACCCUUUCCCUGACGCUGCCUUGUGGGGAAUGCAUUUUAAUUGUAAUAAAAAACUAAUUAAACCCCA